rnacentral:rRNA from 1 species
AAUACAACUUUCAACAACGGAUCUCUUGGCUCUCGCAUCGAUGAAGAACGCAGCGAAAUGCGAUACGUAAUGUGAAUUGCAGAAUUCAGUGAAUCAUCGAAUCUUUGAACGCACCUUGCGCCCCUUGGCAUUCCGAGGGGCACACCCGUUUGAGUGUCGUGA